rnacentral:rRNA from 2 species
GACGAACGCUGGCGGUGUGCUUAACACAUGCAAGUCGAACGGUAAGGCCCUUUCGGGGGUACACGAGUGGCGAACGGGUGAGUAACACGUGAGUAACCUGCCCUCAUCUCUGGGAUAACAGUCGGAAACGGUUGCUAAUACUGGAUAUGAGCUUGCAAGCAUCUUGUGGGUUGGAAAGAUAUUUUUUGGUUGGGGAUGGACUCGCGGCCUAUCAGCUUGUUGGUGAGGUAGUGGCUCACCAAGGCUUCGACGGGUACCGGCCUGAGAGGGCGACCGCCACAUUGGGACUGAGAUACGGCCCAAACUCCUACGGGAGGCAGCAGUGGGGAAUAUUGCACAAUGGACGGAAGUCUGAUGCAGCAACCCGCGUGCGGGAUGACGGCCUUCGGGUUGUAAACCGCUUUUCAAUUGUGACGAAGCUUUUUGUGACGUAGCAGUAGAAGAUGCACCGCUAAUACG